UCUUUUUGUCUCUGUGUUUCUGUCUGUCUUUUUUUCUUUCUGUGUCUGUCUUUGUUCGUUUUAAUCGUGUUGUCAAAUUAUCGCAAAAAAUAGUUGGUCGGAGUUUCCAUAGAUUUCCUCGGUGGCAGAUGUAGAAUAAAUGUACGACAUGGAUCGUUGAAUCACCUUACAUACAAUACAUAUAUAGGGUUACGUGCGACAAGUCGAUAUCUAUACGUCCGAUAAGGAAACAAGCUUACGACAAUGAAGUCACAUACUGAGAAAUACGAUAAUUACCGCAAAAUCUUACGAAUAAAAAUAAUAAAAGGAAAAAACAGAAGAUGAAGAGGAAGAAGAAGACGAAGAAGUAGAAACAAGUUAGGGAUUGGAUUUUCUUGGUUUUUUUGCGUUUGGUGAUGUGCUAGCACGUAGUGUACACGAUGCGGUCACGUUCGUACACGUAUGUACUACUUCCUGCGCGAUUCACGACGCUUCUUACUCGGAAUUCAAAUGUACAAGUAUGUAUCUCGUCCCGUCGUUUACAAUCCUUGGGUAUCGUCUCGUCUCGUCUCGUCUCG